CUCAUGGCAGUAGGAGGUGGAGUGUCCAAGAAGGAGAGGUUGCCAUGGAGCACAAAGGCUAGAGAUCCUGCAGUGGAAAGUUGAGUAGAAGUAUUCGAAGUACAGAUUACAUGUUUCAAACACACUGCAUGUGAUUCAUCUUCAAGAUAAAUCAGAUUUGCAAGAGAAAAAACUAUGGGCUCUCUAUUGGAUCUCAUCUCCUUCUGUACAAGAAAUAGGAAACAUGGAGUGUCCACUUAAUGAAUACUGGGAUUGGCCAUUUGUAAUACUGAUCUUUGUGAAAUACCAGCUUGAUUUUGUGAUGAUGGAGCAGAACUUCGAGUUUAGGAAACUAACUAAACUAAUGUUUAUAGCACCAAUGUCCACCAUAUCCAAAUUAUGGAAAGACCCCAGAUGAAUGGAUGAAGAAGAUGUGGUAUCUCCAUACAAUGGAAUACUACUCAGCAAUAAAAAAUGAAAUCUU